rnacentral:tRNA from 1 species
GUAGUGGUGGUUCAGUGGUAGAAUUCUUGCCUUGCAAGUGGGAGACUCAGGUUCGAUUCCUGGCCAGUGCA